CAGUAGCCGCGGGAAUACGUAGGGGGCAAGCGUUGUCCGGAAUUAUUGGGCGUAAAGCGCGCGCAGGCGGUCAUGUAAGUCUGGUGUUUAAUCCCGGGGCUCAACCCCGGAUCGCACUGGAAACUGGGUGACUUGAGUGCAGAAGAGGAGAGUGGAAUUCCACGUGUAGCGGUGAAAUGCGUAGAGAUGUGGAGGAACACCAGUGGCGAAGGCGACUCUCUGGGCUGUAACUGACGCUGAGGCGCGAAAGCGUGGGGAGCAAACAGGAUUAGAUACCCCUGUAGUCCCUGUCUCUUAUACC
rnacentral:rRNA from 1 species